UACGUAGGGGGCAAGCGUUGUCCGGAAUUAUUGGGCGUAAAGAGCGUGUAGGCGGUCCGGUAAGUCCGCUGUGAAAGUCCAGGGCUCAACCCUGGAAUGCCGGUGGAUACUGCCGGGCUAGAGUCCGGAAGAGGCGAGUGGAAUUCCUGGUGUAGCGGUGAAAUGCGCAGAUAUCGGGAGGAACACCAGCGGCGAAGGCGGCACUCUGGGCUGGAACUGACGCUGAGGAGCGAAAGCGUGGGUAGCAAACAGG
rnacentral:rRNA from 1 species